rnacentral:rRNA from 1 species
UACGGAGGAUCCAAGCGUUAUCCGGAUUUAUUGGGUUUAAAGGGUGCGUAGGCGGCCUAUUAAGUCAGGAGUGAAAGCCCCAAGCUUAACUUGGGAAGUGCUUUUGAUACUGCAGAGCUUGAAUGUGGGAGAGGAUAAUGAGAAUUCCAGGUGUAGUGGUGAAAUAACGUAGAUAUCUGGAGGAAUACCGGUGGCGAAGGCGGUUAUCUGGCCCAACAUUGACACUGAGACCCGAAAGCGUGGGGAUCAAACAGG